rnacentral:lncRNA from 1 species
GGACAACGGAUUUUAUUAAACACUACUGGGGUUUAUACGGGUACUGAAAAACUGUGACUCUGUAGUACCCGACCAUCUGUUCCGCUGGACAGCGGCUGGUGGAGUCAGCAGCCGCCUCAGACACCUCUCCCGACUGCGGUCGUUCACUGUCUGUGGCGUAAACCCUGAGAUCAUCACCCUCCCUACUCCCAGGCCUUCCCCGUUUCAUUAUUUCUAUCAAAGGGAGUUGGGGCUGGGCCUGUGGGUGCACAGCACCUUGGACCUUCGGCUUCAUGGUGUCUUCCUUAUCUUCUCAGAACUUGGGCCCAGGUCACUUAGGUGUGUCAAUCACUUAGGAGCUAGUAUGACGUUUAUCAGCCCUAAAUUUACAGCCAUCUCCCUGCCCUUCAAGGCCGAAGACUGCCAGACGAGAGCAGGCCGCUUUCAGGGUUUGCAGGGCCGUUCAGCGGUGUUCACGGCGCUCCCCUCCAGACCCCUUGGCGCGGCAUCCGGAAGCCUUCCGUCGCUGUGUAAGCCCGCACCGCCGCGGAUUCCAGGGCCUCGCAGGACACACGCGUGACGGUCAGGGCACUACCCGCGCGGGGUCGCCCGUGCCCUCCCUCGUCCCAGCGCGCAGCAGCCACCAGCUCUCGGAACCGUGGGCUGGGCUGAGCGGGGCAGGCCCGGCAGGCCUGUCAGCCCGCGCGCCGCUCCCUGGCUCAGCUGCCCUGCCGGCCGCGCUCGCCUCUGCUAGCCCUGAAGUCCAUCCGCGCCCUGCUGCUCCAGGCCCGCGCCCCGCCCCUCCGGCUCGGAGCCGCCCCGGGGCGGUGGGAUGCAGGGAGGGCUCUCCGGAGGGGCCCGGAGUCCUGGCCCUCAGCCGCGGCCUCUAAGGCCGAACGAGGCUGCAAUCAGCAGAGGCCAAAUGAAAACAGCCCGCGGAGAGGGCGGAGGCGGGGACCGGGCAGCCGCGGGUCUCGAGGAGCGAGGAGCUGCGGGCAGAGGGCAGGUUGCGCUCCCCCCCGCCCUGCGCUCCCUCCGGGUUACCCUCGCUCGGGAGAGCCGGGUCCGGGCGGAAGUCGCAGGCGGGCGGCUCGGCGCUGCUGUUCCAGGUCUCCGCUUGGGAUGCGCGGCGGAGGCCAACGGCUGCGCGCGCCUUCCAGCCCUCGCGUCUCCUAGCAACGCAGGGCGGGGGCGUGGCUCGGUGGGCCCUGCCCUGCUCGCGCAAGCUCCGCUCACACGGGUGGCCCUCUGUGCGCACGCGCAAGGCGUGGGCGUGGCCACGGGGCUGCUUAGCCAAGUCGGAGGAGACCCAGAGACCCGAGGUUGGCUGGUGCGCGCCUGGCGCCUCGCGUCUGAGCUGGGGGGGGGGAGUAGAAGGUGCUGUUCGCUCCUGAAACCCCAGACCGAGUCCCUAAGAAAAUGGAUAAGAUCGCUGGGAUUGCUGGGACUCAACCUUCCAGGCCUCUCCCCCACUGAACAAGGAAAGAAGUUUAUCCUUCCGCACCCGCCCCUUCAGCAGAGGACACCUGAGGCCCUCUUUGUCCUGGCUUCCUUACUCGUCGCAGCAAAACCUCGGCUGUGCAGCCCUCACCCAAGCCCAGGCACCUGCAGCCCCCACUGCCUGUUGCGGUGGAACCUGGAGGUCUCCUGCCCUCGCGGCCCCAGUCCUCUGCACAGUCAGCGAUCCGUUGGAAACCCAGGCUGGCCUUGAAUUGAAGCAAUCUUCCUGCCUCAGCUUGCAAAGCGCUGGGAUUACAGCUAUGUGUCAUCAUGCCUGGCGGCAGUCUUUGCAUUCUUGAUAAAAGAAUUCAGUGAAGAUACAGACAAGUGUUGUGAAAGAAAGGCAGAAUUUAUUGUAAAGUGAAGCAGUUCAUGGUGAAAGUACACCCCCAAGGGAAAGGGCAUCGAGGGCCCAGAUGGCAGUUGGGCUGAAUGAAAGUUUAAAUUUUAUUUCCAUAAUUUUGUUAGAAUAUUCUGCCUUUGCUGGUCUAUUCAAUUCUCAUUCGUCCUUUCAAAGACCCACUGAGGCUGCCCGCUGCUGCUGAAGCUUAACGCACUUGGCUUGGUGUGCAAAGUCCUAACAGCCUUAGCUGGUUCAGGCCUGACCUACCUUUGCAGUCCCGUUUCACUCUUUUUGAGCCCAACACUUAGGUUAAAAGGGAUGGACGGCAGUGCUCGGCUGAAUAAAAGCUCACUGUAGGGGCUUCUGCUGUUCUUGGACCUGGAAGCUGACCUCAAAUUCACUUUCUUUUUAAUCAGAACAUUUAUUGGUAUAUUUUAGGUAUACAUAAUGAUAACACUUAUCAUAGGGAACUUGCACCUGUACAUGAUAUAUCCUGACACUUAAAUUCACCUUCUUGUCUAAGAUUUUUCUUUUCUCUCUUUCUCCUUCCUUCCUUCUUCUGUGAGGUUGAACCUAGGGCCUUCCACAUGCUAGGUAAAUGCU